rnacentral:rRNA from 1 species
AGUGAACGCUGGCGGUAGGCCUAACACAUGCAAGUCGAACGGCAGCACAGUAAGAGCUUGCUCUUACGGGUGGCGAGUGGCGGACGGGUGAGGAAUACAUCGGAAUCUACUUUUUCGUGGGGGAUAACGUAGGGAAACUUACGCUAAUACCGCAUACGACCUACGGGUGAAAGCAGGGGAUCUUCGGACCUUGCGCGAUUGAAUGAGCCGAUGUGGGAUUAGCUAGUUGGCGGGGUAAAGGCCCACCAAGGCGACGAUCCGUAGCUGGUCUGAGAGGAUGGUCGGCCACACUGGAACUGAGACACGGUCCAGACUCCUACGGGAGGCAGCAGUGGGGAAUGUUAGACAAUGGGCGCAAGCCUGAUCCAGCCAUACCGCGUGGGUGAAGAAGGCCUUCGGGUUGUAAAGCCCUUUUGUUGGGAAAGAAAAGCAGCAGGUUAAUACCCCGCUGUUCUGACGGUACCCAAAGAAUAAGCACCGGCUAACUUCGUG